UGAAAUUAGGGCUACAUUUGUGUGGAUGCAUGAAUGGCCUUUACUUGUAAGCUGGGCUUUUUCUAAACAAUUUUAUGUUCUUGCAGGAAUUCUCACCGGAUGGACGAUUCAUUAUUAGUGCUGAUCGGGAUUUUAAAAUUCGUGUUACCCUGUUUCCAAAGAAGACUUUAGAUGGAGCUCAUGAGAUACAGAGCUUUUGCCUUGGUCAUUCUAAGUAUAUAGACCAAUGAAGACUAACAGUGAACUCUCUCAUCAAUUUGAAUCAAUUUGAGUUAAACACUUCUUUCUCUGUUAAUGUCUUUGUUAAAACAUGAUUUGUGAAUAUGUUAUUUUGUGAUUAAUGGUGAUUGGAU